rnacentral:rRNA from 1 species
GAUGAACGCUGGCGGCGUGCCUAAUACAUGCAAGUCGAGCGAACAGACGAGGAGCUUGCUCCUCUGACGUUAGCGGCGGACGGGUGAGUAACACGUGGAUAACCUACCUAUAAGACUGGGAUAACUUCGGGAAACCGGAGCUAAUACCGGAUAAUAUAUUGAACCGCAUGGUUCAAUAGUGAAAGACGGUUUUGCUGUCACUUAUAGAUGGAUCCGCGCCGCAUUAGCUAGUUGGUAAGGUAACGGCUUACCGAGGCAACGAUGCGUAGCCGACCUGAGAGGGUGAUCGGCCACACUGGAACUUAGACACGGUCCAGACUCCUACGGGAGGCAGCAGUAGGGAAUCUUCCGCAAUGGGCGAAAGCCUGACGGAGCAACGCCGCGUGAGUGAUGAAGGUCUUCGGAUCGUAAAACUCUGUUAUUAGGGAAGAACAAAUGUGUAAGUAACUAUGCACGUCUUGACGGUACCUAAUCAGAAAGCCACGGCUAACUACGUG